GGGGGACCACGGGAUGGGAAGGGUGGACAUGGCUCUGACAGCAACAAUGUAACACCCAUGCAACGAGUCUGCGAGGCCGAAUGGAAGCCAGCUGGCUGCAGGGGAGAGAGCAAGAGAGUCUGGCAGAAGGUGCACCUGGAGAAGGAAGUAGAGGCCAGGCCAGUGUGGAGGGAACUGGGAGGACCUGUCUGACCACAAACAACCCACCUGAGGAGGCCCUGCUGCUCCCGGAGGGUGCUCCUGCCAGAGUUCUCCUAGUUCCUUGCAAGGAGCCCUGGAAAAACAAUCCCACCCUGGGUCUAACAUAGUCUCGGGGACUUUUAAACCAAUGCCCAGCUAGAAAAAACAUCUCAGGCAGUUCGCGGAUAGAAGAGGAAAUAAUAUUAAGAGCCUGCCAUAUGUUGAAUGUUUACUAUGUCUCAGCAGCAUAUAAAUGCUUUAGUUUCUUACAGAAGCCCUCCAAGGAAACUACAGAGGCCCUUUGGUGCUCCCCAGCUCUCCUUGUUUUCCUGUUUCUAAGCAUCUGAGUGCAUCCUGAUAGCUGUGGACAGCAGAGAUUUGGAACAGGAGAUUGAAGAAGUCUCAUCUACUGCCAUGCUUGGCACAUAGUAGGCACUCAACACAUGCUAGACUCUCCCCACCUCCUGUUGCUUCUUGGCACCAGGCUUCACUCUGGACAAGAGUUAACAUCUCAUCCUUUACCCAUGUCUUCUUUGACUGAACAUCUCGCUAUUAGUGGGAGAUGGGUCAAAGAAGUAUUCACUCAUCCUUUCAUCCAACAAUACUGACAGAGCACCUGCCCUGUGCCAGGCUCAGCCAGAGGCUGGAGAUAAAGACAUGAAUGAGACCCCUGGUGACGGGUGAGAGACAAAGCAAAGGGCUCAUUUCCAUAGAGGAUGAUGGGGAUUCACAUAUGGGGUUGGGCAAGGCACACAAUAGAGCAGGGUGAUAUGGUUGGCUUUGUGUCCCCACCCAAAUCUCGUCUUGAAUUGUAGUUACCAUAAUCCCCAUGUGUCAUAGGAGGGACCUGGUGGGAGGUAAUUGAAUCAUGGAAAUGGUUUCCACCAUGCUGUUCUUGUGAUAGUGAGUGAGUUCUCAUGAGAGCUGAUGGUUUUAUAAGGGGCUUUUCCCCUCUUCACAUUGGACUACUCUCUCCUGCUGCCACGUGAAGAAGGCCAUGUUUGCUUCCCCUUCUGCCAUGACUAUAAGUUUCCUGAGGCCUCCCCAGCCAUGUGAAACUGUAAGUCAAUUAAAUCUUUUUUAAAUAAAUUACCCAUUCUUGGGUAUGUUCUUAUAGCAGCAUGAGAAUGAACUAAUACACAGGGUGACAUGAGAAGGCUUCCUGGGAGACAGUGCCUGAGCUGAUCUCUGAUGAGAAAGUAAGAGGAGGACAUUCCAGGUACAGGGAACAACAUGUGCAAACACACAAGGCUGAAGUAAACAAACAGGAAGCUGUGAAAAAGGACAGUGAUGAAUGACUAGCCCAACAGGGUAAUUUUGACCCCCAGGGUACAUUUGGCAACAACUGGAGACUUUUUGUUUGCUUUCCACAAUUGUGUGUGUGUGCAUGUAUGCACAUGUGUGUGCAAGUGUCUGCUACUGGCAUCUAAUAGGUAGAGGUCAGGGAUGCUGCCGAACAUCCUACAGUGCACAAGAUAGCCCCCCAUGACAAAGAAUUAUAUCUGGCCCAAGAUGUUGAGAAACCCUGGACUAGAACAACAAACAUAAAAACAUAUUAUAGUACUUUGACAAUUAAAACUUCAUAGUACUAGCACAUGAAUAGAUA
rnacentral:lncRNA from 1 species